CUAGAAAUGACGAGAUGGGCGUGCUCCUGACUCUUGACCAUUGGGAAAUCUUCCCAGCCUGGUAGCACGCCAAGCCUUGGGGGGUUCAGUGGCGGAGGCGGCUAUCUUUCUGGGAUAGGGGCUGAAUUGUUCCUUUGCUGCUUUUGCUACCCUGUGGGUGCCAUGUUUUAUCUCCUCUGCGAUACCUGUUUGCCAUCCCUGCCUUGGAGCCAGGUGAUUAUGGACUGAAACUUCUACAAAUUUGCACGUUGUUCAGAAUACUAAGAAGCUCCUGGCCAGACAUGGUGGUACAAGCCUAUAAGCCCAGCACUCAGGAGGCAGAGGCAAGAGGAUCACUGAGUUCAAAGCCAGGCUGAACUACAUAGUAAGACCCUGUCUCAAAAAAAAAAAAAGCUCCUGAUAAAAGAGGAAGACGAGAGAGGUAACAAGAAUGGCCUGCCACACAGGAAAGGAAAACUAAGCACUUGUACUGUCAGGUAAGCAAAAUGUGUGCAUGGAAUAUAUAGCUGUCAUGUGAAGAUUGCCUUGGGUGUGACAAUUGAAGAAAAGAUUUUUUUGAAAGGAUUGUUUUUGUUGUAGAGUUCUGUUGGUAUUUUCGUUGUAGUUCAUAGAGGAUUGCAAGUUCCCCACACACCCCCUUGGUACCAGGGCUUGUAUGUAGUUCAUAGAGGAAUGUAUUUCUGAUAAUUAUCUUUUAGGUUUUGUAAGUAAGUACACAGCUGAUGUGAGAAUGUUGAUGUUUAUUCUAAACAUGUAAUAUGUAUUAAGAAUUUAAUACUUUAGUGUAUUGAUAUUUUAUGUUCCUCUUAACUACACAUUGUAUAAUAAAAACUUCCUAGCUGGGUGUAGUGGUGCUGUAAUCCCAGCACUUGGGAGGCUGAGGCAGGAGAAUUGCUUUGAGUUGGAAGCCAGCCUGGGCUACAUAGUGAAUUCAAGGCCAGCCUGAACUACAUAGGGAGACCUUGUCUCAAAACAAACAAACAAACAAAAGACUCCUGACAAAAUAGCAAGACCAACAAGAUGUCAAGUAGGAAGGUACAAGUUCCCAAUGAGAAAUGUAAAUGUAUUGUAUACCUAAAAUGUACCAAUAAAGGAAGUUAAGGAAAAAAAAAGAUGUCAAGUAUGUCUUACAAAAAGGCCAGGAAAGCAAAACACAUAUGCUGUCAGUGUAAGUAAUACAUGUGUAUUGAAUGUGCUGUUGUCAUGUGUGAAGACUAAGUUGUAAUAAUUGAAGUAAAGAUUAUUUUCUGUAGAGUUUGUUGGCAUUUUCUUUGUAGUUCAUAUAGGAAUUUCUGUUGGUUUUUUUAAGACUUUGU
rnacentral:lncRNA from 1 species